UACGGGGGGGGCAAGCGUUGUUCGGAAUUACUGGGCGUAAAGGGCGCGUAGGCGGCCUGCUAAGUCACACGUGAAAUCCCUCGGCUCAACCGGGGAACUGCGUGUGAUACUGGCGGGCUUGAAUUCGGGAGAGGGAUGUGGAAUUCCAGGUGUAGCGGUGAGAUGCGUAGAUAUCUGGAGGAACACCGGUGGCGAAGGCGGCAUCCUGGACCGAGAUUGACGCUGAGGCGCGAAAGCUAGGGGAGCAAACGGG
rnacentral:rRNA from 1 species